rnacentral:rRNA from 1 species
UACGAACCGUACAAAACGUUAUUCGGAAUCACUGGGCUUAAAGGGUGCGUAGGCGGCCAUGUAAGUGGGGUGUGAAAUCCCUCGGCUCAACCGAGGAACUGCGCUCCAUACUGCAUGGCUUGAGGGAGACAGGGGUAAGCGGAACUGAUGGUGGAGCGGUGAAAUGCGUUGAUAUCAUCAGGAACACCGGUGGCGAAGGCGGCGUCCUGGACCAACACUGACACUGAGGAGCGAAAGCCAGGGGAGCAAACGGG